CGGCCCUCUCACCUGGCGGACCCACGAGGCAGGCGAGCCGGCCCCCUUCCAGCUGGGGAUGCAGGCGGCCGCACACGCACAUGGCCACAGCCGGCCGAGGGUCCCUCGCCCUCGAGGGGAGAAAGCGGGGAGAGAGCGCGAGCAGACCUGGAACUAGUGCGGUCCAGGACGCCCAACCAGCUCACAUGAGGCGGGGGCGGGGCAGCGAACGGCCACACCCCCGCCCCUCCCCACAGACGGGUAAACGGAAGCAUCACCCAACUAAUGAGUGUCUGAGGCUAGAUCUGAACUCAGAUCUUCCUGACUCCAGGCCCAGCUCUGGGCCACCAAGUCAAAACUUGUUGAAUGGAAUUGAUCUCACUUGAAUGAUUAAUGCAUCACCAUGCUGACAAACCUUUGGAAAAGUAGGUAAGCUUGCUAGCCAGAAGAAAGCUGAAGUUAGUGCAGGGGAGGUGUUUAAGUUUUGUCUGUUGCUGGUGAAUUUUUGGUGUUGUGGUGGUUUUUGUUUGCAGAGGUUGAAGGCACGUGGCUUAUCUGUGAUCAUGAAAAUCCUCCCUUUACUUCCGAUGCCUCCUCCCUUUUUCUGAGAGCACUGAGAUCCCCAAGGCUAUCAGAGGAACCCAGGCUCCGGUCAGUAUUCUUAAGCCAGAAGGGCUUUGUUUCCGGACCUGGGGACAGACUGCAUAUCUGUCUUGCCUUGACCAAAGGAAUUGAGCCAAAGGUUUAUCUCCAAAAGGGAUUGUCACCAAGCUUCCCCAGGACACCCAAAUCCAGCUGCAAGUGGGGAGUAUGCUGCUCUGCUGAGAAGAGGCCUGGAACAGUGGAAAGUCUCUGGACCAGACUGCCUGCAAGGCAGGGAAGAGGAGACUCCUGUUUCUUCGCUCUGUGGACAAAUGCCUUCAUAUCUCUGACCCUCACUUUCCUCAAAUGUAAAAUGGGGAUAAAAAUUCCUGCCCUCCAGAGCAGAAACGUUAGGGAGCUCAAGAUAAGACUUGAUUCAAAACACUAUAUAAAGUCCCCUUACAACAUUAGAAUGAGAAAGAAAUAUAAAGCAUCAGACUGGAGAACUGGAAAGGCCUUUAGAAGAUAGAAUUUCAGAGCCAGAAAGGACUUAGAACACAGAACUUGGAAAGUUUGAGCAGGGAAGGACUUUAGAAUAUAUAACCUAGAAUAUAAUAGGAAUAGAACCUUGGAACCUAAAAUGUCAGAGAUGGAAGUGACUUUAUGGUAGAAGUAGAUAGAAUAAUGGGCCUGUAGACCUGAGUUCAAAUCCAGCCUCAGGCAAUUACUAGCUGUAGCAAAUCACUUACCUCC